AGUUGAUACUGGCGUUCUUGAGUGCAGUUGAGGUGUGCGGAAUUCGUGGUGUAGCGGUGAAAUGCUUAGAUAUCACGAAGAACUCCGAUUGCGAAGGCAGCUCACUAAACUGUAACUGACGUUCAUGCUCGAAAGUGUGGGUAUCAAACAGGAUUAGAUACCCUGGUAGUCCACACGGUAAACGAUGGAUACUCGCUGUUGGCGAUAUAGGGUCAGCGGCCAAGCGAAAGCGUUAAGUAUCCCACCUGGGGAGUACGCCGGCAACGGUGAAACUCAAAGGAAUUGACGGGGGCCCGCACAAGCGGAGGAACAUGUGGUUUAAUUCGAUGAUACGCGAGGAACCUUACCCGGGCUUAAAUUGCAGAGGAAUAAUCUGGAAACAGAUUAGUCUUCGGACUUCUGUGAAGGUGCUGCAUGGUUGUCGUCAGCUCGUGCCGUGAGGUGUCGGCUUAAGUGCCAUAACGAGCGCAACCCCCAUCGCCAGUUACUAACAGGUAACGCUGAGGACUCUGGCGAGACUGCCAGCGUAAGCUGCGAGGAGGGUGGGGAUGACGUCAAAUCAGCACGGCCCUUACAUCCGGGGCGACACACGUGUUACAAUGGCGUGGACAAAGGGCUGCGACCUGGCGACAGGAAGCGAAUCCCCAAACCACGUCUCAGUUCGGAUCGGAGUCUGCAACCCGACUCCGUGAAGCUGGAUUCGCUAGUAAUCGCGCAUCAGCCAUGGCGCGGUGAAUACGUUCCCGGGCCUUGUACACACCGCCCGUCAAGCCAUGAAAGCCGGCGGUNCCUGAAGUGCGUAACCGCAAGGGGCGCCCUAGGGUAAAGCCGGUGAUUGGGGCUAAGUCGUAACAAGGUAACCA
rnacentral:rRNA from 1 species